rnacentral:rRNA from 1 species
UGGCCAGACUCCUACGGGAGGCAGCAGUGGGGAAUAUUGGUCAAUGGGCGCAAGCCUGACCCAGCAACGCCGCGUGAAGGAAGAAGGCUUUCGGGUUGUAAACUUCUUUUCUCAGGGACGAAGAAAGUGACGGUACCUGAGGAAUAAGCCACGGCUAACUACGUGCCAGCAGCCGCGGUAAUACGUAGGUGGCAAGCGUUAUCCGGAUUUAUUGGGUUUAAAGGGUGCGUAGGCGGAAUAUCAAGUCAGCGGUAAAAAUUCGGGGCUCAACCCCGUCGUGCCGUUGAAACUGAUGUUCUUGAGUGGGCGAGAAGUAUGCGGAAUGCGUGGUGUAGCGGUGAAAUGCAUAGAUAUCACGCAGAACUCCGAUUGCGAAGGCAGCAUACCGGCGCCCAACUGACGCUGAAGCACGAAAGCGUGGGUAUCGAACAGGAUUAGAUACCCCUGUAUU